GCGAACGCUGGCGGCCUGCCUAACACAUGCAAGUCGAACGAGACCUUCGGGUCUAGUGGCGCACGGGUGCGUAACGCGUGGGAACCUGCCCUUAGGUUCGGAAUAACUCCCCGAAAGGGGUGCUAAUACCGGAUAAUGUCUUCGGACCAAAGAUUUAUCGCCUUUGGAUGGGCCCGCGUUGGAUUAGCUAGUUGGUAGGGUAAAAGCCUACCAAGGCGACGAUCCAUAGCUGGUCUGAGAGGAUGAUCAGCCACACUGGGACUGAGACACGGCCCAGACUCCUACGGGAGGCAGCAGUGGGGAAUAUUGGACAAUGGGCGAAAGCCUGAUCCAGCAAUGCCGCGUGAGUGAUGAAGGCCUUAGGGUUGUAAAGCUCUUUUACCCGGGAUGAUAAUGACAGUACCGGGAGAAUAAGCUCCGGCUAACUCCGUG
rnacentral:rRNA from 1 species